rnacentral:rRNA from 1 species
GCCCUUAGAGUUUGAUCCUGGCUCAGAUUGAACGCUGGCGGUAUGCUUAAGACAUGCAAGUCGAACGGAAUCUUCGGAUUCAGUGGCGGACGGGUGAGUAACACGUGGGAAUCUACUGAGUAGUGGGGGACAGCCCGGCGAAAGCCGGAUUAAUACCGCAUACGCCCUACGGGGGAAAGGCGCAAGCCGCUAUUUAAUGAGCCCGCGUAAGAUUAGCUAGUUGGUAAGGUAAAGGCUUACCAAGGCGACGAUCUUUAGCUGGUCUGAGAGGAUGGCCAGCCACAUCGGGACUGAGACACGGCCCGGACUCCUACGGGAGGCAGCAGUCGGGAAUAUUGGACAAUGGGCGCAAGCCUGAUCCAGCGACGCCGCGUGAGGGAUGACGGCCUUCGGGUUGUAAACCUCUUUCAGUAGGGAAGAAGCGAAAGUGACGGUACCUACAAAAGAAGCACCGGCUAACUACGUGCCAGCAGCCGCGGUAAUAAGGGC